rnacentral:rRNA from 1 species
CGUUCCCGGGCCUUGUACACACCGCCCGUCACGUCAUGAAAGUCGGUAACACCCGAAGCCGGUGGCCUAACCCUUGUGGAGGGAGCCGUCGAAGGUGGGAUCGGCGAUUGGGACG